rnacentral:rRNA from 1 species
CGGACGGGUGAGUAACACGUGGAUAACCUACCUAUAAGACUGGGAUAACUUCGGGAAACCGGAGCUAAUACCGGAUAAUAUUUUGAACCGCAUGGUUCAAAAGUGAAAGACGGUCUUGCUGUCACUUAUAGAUGGAUCCGCGCUGCAUUAGCUAGUUGGUAAGGUAACGGCUUACCAAGGCAACGAUGCAUAGCCGACCUGAGAGGGUGAUCGGCCACACUGGGACUGAGACACGGUCCAG